rnacentral:rRNA from 1 species
GGGGGGGGCAAGCGUUGUUCGGAAUUACUGGGCGUAAAGGGCGCGUAGGCGGGCGAGACAGUCUUUCGUGAAAUCCCACGGCUCAACCGUGGAACUGCGGGAGAUACUACUCGUCUUGAGUUCGGGAGAGGAAUGUGGAAUUCCCAGUGUAGCGGUGAAAUGCGUAGAUAUUGGGAGGAACACCGGUGGCGAAGGCGGCAUUCUGGACCGAAACUGACGCUGAGGCGCGAAAGCUAGGGGAGCAAACGGGAUUAGAUACCCCGGGUAGUCCUAGCUGUAAACGAUGAGCACUUGGUGUAGCGGGUAUCGACCCCCCUGCUGUGCCGGAGUUAACGCAUUAAGUGCUCCGCCUGGGGAGUACGGUCGCAAGGCUG